UUAACACAUGCAAGUCGAGGGGCAGCAUGGUCUUAGCUUGCUAAGGCUGAUGGCGACCGGCGCACGGGGUGAGUAACACGUAUCCAACCUGCCGUCUACUCUUGGCCAGCCUUCUGAAAGGAAGAUUAAUCCAGGAUGGGAUCAUGAGUUCACAUGUCCGCAUGAUUAAAGGUAUUUUCCGGUAGACGAUGGGGAUGCGUUCCAUUAGAUAGUAGGCGGGGUAACGGCCCACCUAGUCAACGAUGGAUAGGGGUUCUGAGAGGAAGGUCCCCCACAUUGGAACUGAGACACGGUCCAAACUCCUACGGGAGGCAGCAGUGAGGAAUAUUGGUCAAUGGGCGAUGGCCUGAACCAGCCAAGUAGCGUGAAGGAUGACUGCCCUAUGGGUUGUAAACUUCUUUUAUAAAGGAAUAAAGUCGGGUAUGCAUACCCGUUUGCAUGUACUUUAUGAAUAAGGAUCGGCUAACUCCGUGCCAGCAGCCGCGGUAAUACGGAGGAUCCGAGCGUUAUCCGGAUUUAUUGGGUUUAAAGGGAGCGUAGAUGGAUGUUUAAGUCAGUUGUGAAAGUUUGCGGCUCAACCGUAAAAUUGCAGUUGAUACUGGAUGUCUUGAGUGCAGUUGAGGCAGGCGGAAUUCGUGGUGUAGCGGGUGAAAUGCUUAGUAUAUCACGAAGAACUCCGAUUGCGAAGGCAGCCUGCUAAGCUGCAACUGACAUUGAGGCUCGAAAGUGUGGGUAUCAAACAGG
rnacentral:rRNA from 1 species